rnacentral:rRNA from 1 species
ACUCCUACGGGAGGCAGCAGUGGGGAAUAUUGCACAAUGGGCGCAAGCCUGAUGCAGCCAUGCCGCGUGUAUGAAGAAGGCCUUCGGGUUGUAAAGUACUUUCAGCAGUGAGGAAGGCAGGUACGUUAAUAGCGUGCUUGUUUGUACGUUAGCUGCAGAAGAAGCACCGGCUAACUCCGUGCCAGCAGCCGCGGUAAUACGGAGGGUGCGAGCGUUAAUCGGAAUUACUGGGCGUAAAGCGCAUGCAGGUGGUUGUUAAGUCAGAUGUGAAAGCCCGGGGCUCAACCUCGGAAUAGCAUUUGAAACUGGCAGACUAGAGUACUGUAGAGGGGGUAGAAUUUCAGGUGUAGCGGUGAAAUGCGUAGAGAUCUGAAGGAAUACCGGUGCGAAGGCGGCCCCUGGACAGAUACUGACACUCAGAUGCGAAAGCGUGGGAGCAAACAGGAUUAGAUACCCCUGGUAGCGACUGA